rnacentral:rRNA from 1 species
CAGUAGCCACGGGAAUACGUAGGUGGUAAGCGUUGUCCGGAAUUAUUGGGCGUAAAGGGCUCGCAGGCGGUUUCUUAAGUCUGAUGUGAAAGCCCCCGGCUCAACCGGGGAGGGUCAUUGGAAACUGGGAAACUUGAGUGCAGAAGAGGAGAGUGGAAUUCCACGUGUAGCGGUGAAAUGCGUAGAGAUGUGGAGGAACACCAGUGGCGAAGGCGACUCUCUGGUCUGUAACCGACGCUGAGGAGCGAAAGCGUGGGGAGCGAACAGGAUUAGAUACCCCUGUAGUCCCUGUCUCUUAUAC